CAGAAUGAGUCUUGUUACUGUGUUACGGAUCAUUGUGCUAAUCACAACCAUAUCGUGGGCAGAUUCUCUUGUUCCGCUUCCAGCAGGAAGUUCUCAACAAACACCUUUUCAGGUCAAUAAAGUUACGCUAGAAUUGGUUGAAAAGUUUCGACAACAAAUGGCUCGUGGAUUUCCGCUCCUUGAUCUACCCGUGCUGGCACCAUUCACGUGGAAGGAACUUCAUAUCAAUGAUUUUGAUGACAACAUACUCCGAUUAAGCGCGAAGCUAAAAGACGGCAUCACACGCGGGCUGGAUGUGUUCGAUGUUACAGCACUAAAUGUACAAAUUUCAGACCGAAAGCUGGAUUUUCAACUGACCUUUCCAUCGCUCCAAACGAACGGACGUUAUGUGGCAAAGGGUCAAUUAGCUGGAUUCGUGCCGUUCGAUCGGUCGGGGAAAUGUUCAUUGCAGCUACGCGGACUUACAAUACAUGGCACUGUAGUGUUUGAUCUUUGGAGAAGAUAUCUCUUCGUGCGUGAUGUUAGAGUCUCGUUUGCAGUGAAAUCUAGCCAGGUGGAGUUUGAAAAUGUGAUGCUACUACCAUGGAACACCUUCCUGUUUAAUCGGAUAGUUUCGGGACAGAUACCGGAGUAUUUGCGCAGCAAUCGCAAUGCGAUAGCGAUGAAAAUUCGAACCAAGAUUCGAUCCAAACUAAACGAAAUACUGUGGAAAUACGAUGUACCGGAUAUUAUUCGAAUCAUAAACGCAACCGUUUCCACAGGGUGAGGAGAACA